UACGAAGGGUGCAAACGUUGCUCGGAAUUAUUGGGCGUAAAGCGCACGUAGGCGGCGCUGCAAGUCGGAUGUGAAAUCCCUCGGCUUAACCAAGGAAGUGCAUCCGAAACUGCAGUGCUUGAGUACUUAAGAGGAUCGCGGGAAUUCCCGGUGUAGAGGUGAAAUUCGUAGAUAUCGGGAGGAACACCAGUGGCGAAGGCGGCGAUCUGGGAAGAUACUGACGCUGAGGUGCGAAAGCGUGGGGAGCAAACAGGG
rnacentral:rRNA from 1 species